rnacentral:lncRNA from 1 species
UGCUGGCAUCAAGUAAGCCGACUACCUCGGCAAAGGCUUAGGGACAAGAGACCAGCAGCCUGAACUGGCUGGGGCAUCCGGAAGGCUUAGAUCUUGUGGCCAAGAGUUCAGACCGUGGCGAAGUGGAGAGUGACAUGCAGUUGGAUGGCGGUGACUGCGUGAGACCGUGAUUAAAUAUACCAGCUUAAGCCCUGACACUGCCGAGGACAGAGUCUACCUCCAUUUACACGUCAUUUCCCAGUCAGCCCCCGACAUCCAAAAGAAACUCCAAAGACUGGAGGAUGGCCCUCAAACCUCCUAAAGAGACUUAAUCAAAGCAGCCUUCAAGGUCUUUAACAAUAGAGAGGAAGAAAUAAAAACCCGAAAGCUUAAAAGAGACCAGGCUAAAUACCAGAUGCUGUCAGCUGCCAUACAACAGGAUUCCCCAAUGCAUACAAAAAUCCUCAACCUCAUGACAGUCCCCAUCAGGAGUCUGUUUUAAGUGUAGCCAACAGGGUCCCUGGGCAAGAGUCUGCCCCAAUCUUGUGCCGCCCUCAAAACCUUGCCUCAUCUGUGGUAUCAAGGGACACUGGAAGUCAGAUUGCACUCAACAAGACUCUUCACCCCGCUUGACCACCUCUAACUCAAACAGGUCCUGCAACCCUGGUUCCAGUCUGGCAAGCAUUGUAGACCUGGCUGCUGAAGACUGACGGGGCCCAGGGUCCGCUGCCCCCACCGCCAUCACCACCUCGGAACCCAGGGUAACGCUGUCAGUCUUUGAGCCUACGAGGAAACCAUUCGGAAGCUCCAGAACCCAGGCCCUAAUCACAACGCCCCUAUCCAGCAGGAAGCAGCCAGAUGAUCAACGACGCCCUUUUUCCUUUUUAUACUAAAGUAAGAAAUAAGAAUGUUAGCCCAAACUGCACUAUUUUGCAGACCCCUACCAUUUUACAAACUGGUCAGAGUGGAAAAUUCCACCAGGGCCUGAGCUGUGAGAAACAUCCUGUCAGGCAGGUCCCAGGCCUAACCCCUGGCUGCACUAAAUUCCUUCAUUAUCAGCAGCCAAACACACCGCCCCCACCCCAUUUUCACAACAAUCCCAGACCUCUCCUGCCCGGGACUGUAACUGGUCCAGCCUGUAAGCGGGAAGGGGGCUCUGGCACUAGCUGGUACCCCCUCUCCGCAGGUCUUUCUCCCAAUAAAUCUGUGUUGCCAUU